GUGUAUAAGAAGCAUUGAGAAACAGGUAAUCAAAUUUCCUGUAGGAAUGGAGAUAGAAAAAGAGACAGAAGCAAUAUUUGGAGAGCUAGUAAGAAAGAAUUUCCCAAAAUAGACAAAAGAAAGUAACUCACAGAUAAAUAAGCAGAAUAAAUACUAAGGCAAGUUCAUCUAGGCAUGACAGAAAAAGAAAAAAGAAAAAUUGAAAAGCAUCUAGAAGGAAAGGCACACUACAUUUACAAAUAUCACUCCUGCAUGUUUCACACACCAGUUUUCCCUUUUUAAACCCUUUUGUUCAGCCUAAACUUUUGAGAUGGUUCUUUUGAGGCCUACGCCCAGCCAUCUCCCAACUGCUAGCAUCUGAGAGAGUUGUUUUCCUUUCAUCAUACCUUACUUCUAUUUUGGCUUUUGAACAGCGAGCAGCCAGACCUGAGUUCAGUUACACCAUCAGUUCCAAAAUUCUAUCUUCGGCCAGACCUGAUUUCAGUUAAGAUUCUUGAUUAGAUAAAAUCUUUGUUUUUUCCCUUUAAGAAAGUGUUAUUUCUAAUACAUCAUGCCUUAUUUAAAAUAUCUAUAUCUAUCUAUCUAUCUAUCUAUCUAUCUAUCUAUCUAUCUAUCUACAAUAUUAGAAUAAGUUUAUUGCUUGAUGAUCAGGUUUUGAGUAAAAACAAAACUGUAAUAUCUGAUGACAAAUAUGUAAGGAACAUUUUUUGUAAAAGCAUGAAUACAUAUUUUGAUGGAUUGCUUUUCAGAUCUAACAGCUCUAAAUUAUUCUUCAAGAUAUAUGUCAAGCAACCUGGAAGCCUUCUCUUACAUAUUAGCCUGUUUCCACACUGCUAUAAUGAUAAUACCUAAGAUGGGGCAAUUUAUAAACAACAGAGAUUUACUUGACUCACAGUUCCACAUGGCUGGGGAGGCCUCAGGAAAUUUACAAUCAUGGCAGAAAGCAAAGGAGAACCAGGCACCUUCUUCAUAAGGCAGCAGGAAAGAGAGAGAGCUGGGGAAACAGCCACGUUUAAACCAUAAAUAUCUUCUGAGAACCCCCUCGCUAUCACAGAACAGGAUGGGGGAACCACCCCCCAUGAUUUAAUCACUUCCCACCAAAUCCCUUCCUCUACACAUGGGAACUACAAUUAGAGAUGAGAUUUGGGUGGGGACAUGGGGUCAAACCAUGUCACUUACUAUCUUCUGAAUGAAGUGUUUCUUCUCUGUAUUGCCAUUAUCUUCCAGGUUAUUAGAAAAAUCAUCAGAUUGCAAUUCAAAUAUUGAUUUUUUUAAAUAAACGAUUUUUUUUCAUUUGUGGUUCCUUAAUUGAUAAACUUCUUAAGGCCUAUUUCCUGUUUUUUCUAAAGAUAUCCAGAAUAGCUUUAGCAUAUGUUAAUUUCUUUUUUUUUUUUGAAGGAAAAUUUGUAUUGUUUUAAUUAUUUUUAUGUACAGAAAACUCAACAGUGUACACUUAACCCAGUUUAGUGGCAAGUUCUUUAGCCUCUGCCUUUUCAAGCUUGACGAUGCAAGACACAAUGUCCCGGGAACCCAGGACAUUGCCUCCCCAGCGAUGGCAGAUCUUAUCAUAUCUGUCCUUGUAAUUGGUCCUGAUGGCUUCCACCAGCUUAGCCAAAGCACCUUUGUCUUCCGAGUUAACCUGUGUGAGGGCAACAGUGGUG
ensembl:lncRNA